AUGUCUCUUUCUAGCCUGCUGAAGGUGGUCACAGCUUCACUGUGGCUAGGACCUGGCAUUGCACAGAAGAUAACUCAAACCCAACCAGCAAUAUUCGUGCAGGAAAAGGAGGCUGUGACUCUGGACUGCACAUAUGACACCAGUGAUCAAAGUUAUGGUCUAUUCUGGUACAAGCAGCCCAGCAGUGGGGAGAUGAUUUUUCUAAUUUCUCAGGCGUCUUAUGACAAGCAAAAUGCAACAGAAGGUCGCUACUCAUUGAAUUUCCAGAAGGCAAGAAAAUCCGCCAACCUUGUCAUCUCCGCUUCACAACUGGGGGACUCAGCAAUGUAUUUCUGUGCAAUGAGAGAGAGCACAGUAAGAGAACCGUCAGAGGGAGGUGUACAAAAGCCCCGGGGACCUGCUUGA